rnacentral:rRNA from 1 species
AUGACUUCCAAGAUGGUCGGCGCCCUCUUGCUGGUCCUCCUGCUGGCGCUCACACAGAGCGACGCCCAGGUGUUGCCGACUCCCUGCUGCAACCUCAAGUGCUGUGGGUACGAUUGCUGCGGGCCCCCGGUCACAGCCGCGGCGCCCAUUUCGUCAUUGUCCGCCGCCCCGGAAGCAGGACCGGCCGGCCCGGUUUCGCAGCGCGUGCCCCGCAAGGUCUUCCCCUGA